rnacentral:rRNA from 1 species
AUUGAACGCUGGCGGCAUGCCUUACACAUGCAAGUCGAACGGCAGCGGACCUUCGGGUGCCGGCGAGUGGCGAACGGGUGAGUAAAGUAUCGGAACGUACCUUUCAGUGGGGGAUAACUGUCCGAAAGGACAGCUAAUACCGCAUAUUCUGUGAGCAGGAAAGCAGGGGAUCGCAAGACCUUGCGCUGAUUGAGCGGCCGAUAUCAGAUUAGCUAGUUGGUGAGGUAAAGGCUCACCAAGGCGACGAUCUGUAGCGGUCUGAGAGGAUGAUCCGCCACACUGGAACUGAGACACGGUCCAGACUCCUACGGGAGGCAGCAGUGGGGAAUUUUGGACAAGUGGGGGCAACCCUGAUCCAGCCAUGCCGCGUGAGUGAAGAAGGCCUCGGUUGUAAG